GAUGAAGAACGCAGUGAAAUGCGAUAAGUAAUGUGAAUUGCAGAAUUCAGUGAAUCAUCGAAUCUUUGAACGCACCUUGCGCCCUUUGGCUAUUCCAGAGGGCAUGCCUGUUUGAGUAUCAUGAACACCUCAACUCUCAUGGUUCUGCCAUGAUGAGCUUGGACUUUGGAGGUCUUGCUGGCCCCUGUGGUCAGCUCCUCUCAAAUGGAUCAGCUUGCCAGUGUUUGGUGGCAUCACAGGUGUGAUAACUAUCUACGCUUGUGGUUUUCCACCAGGUAACCUUCAGUGAUGGAGGUUCGCUGGAGCUCAUAAACGUCUCUCCUCAGCGAGGACAGCUUCUUGAACGUUUGAUCUCAAAUCAGGUAGGGCUACCCGCUGAACUUAAGCAUAUCAAUAAGCGGAGGA
rnacentral:misc_RNA from 1 species